AGUGAACGCUGGCGGUAGGCCUAACACAUGCAAGUCGAACGGCAGCACAGGAGAGCUUGCUCUCUGGGUGGCGAGUGGCGGACGGGUGAGGAAUACAUCGGAAUCUACUCUGUCGUGGGGGAUAACGUAGGGAAACUUACGCUAAUACCGCAUACGACCUACGGGUGAAAGCAGGGGAUCUUCGGACCUUGCGCGAUUGAAUGAGCCGAUGUCGGAUUAGCUAGUUGGCGGGGUAAAGGCCCACCAAGGCGACGAUCCGUAGCUGGUCUGAGAGGAUGUGCAGCCACACUGGAACUUAGGCACGGUCCAGACUCCUACGGGAGGCAGCAGUGGGGAAUAUUGGACAAUGGGCGCAAGCCUGAUCCAGCCAUACCGCGUGGGUGAAGAAGGCCUUCGGGUUGUAAAGCCCUUUUGUUGGGAAAGAAAUCCAGCUGGCUAAUACCCGGUUGGGAUGACGGUACCCAAAGAAUAAGCACCGGCUAACUUCGUGCCAGCCGCCGCAGUAA
rnacentral:rRNA from 1 species